rnacentral:rRNA from 1 species
UACGUAGGGUGCGAGCGUUAAUCGGAAUUACUGGGCGUAAAGCGUGCGCAGGCGGUAAUGCAAGACAGAUGUGAAAUCCCCGGGCUUAACCUGGGAACUGCAUUUGUGACUGCAUUGCUGGAGUGCGGCAGAGGGGGAUGGAAUUCCGCGUGUAGCAGUGAAAUGCGUAGAUAUGCGGAGGAACACCGAUGGCGAAGGCAAUCCCCUGGGCCUGCACUGACGCUCAUGCACGAAAGCGUGGGGAGCAACAGG